rnacentral:lncRNA from 10 species
CUUUCAGCCCUCACCUCCCAGGAAUGGGGAGGGGGCAUCCUACCCCAUAUCUGAGGUGCGACUGCGGGACGUAGAGCGGACUGGGCCUUUCCCGUUGGCGCGUGGCCUCAAUCAGGGAGUCUUCCUCUGUCACCCAGGCUGGAAUGCUGUGGCACCUUCAAGACUCACUACAGCCUCAACUUUCUGGCCUCCAGCAAUCCUCCAAACACAUCCUCCAAAGUAGCUGUUAUUACAAAGAUGGGGUUCCGCCAUAUUGCUCACGCUGGCCUAGAACUGCCGAGCUCAAAGAAUCCACCUACCGUGACGUCCCAAAGUUGUGGAAUUGCAGUGCUUCACUGGCCCCGGCCUUAUUUCCAAAAUGAAAUAACUCACAUAAGUUCUGUGGUGACAUGUAAAAACCCAAUUCCCGUAACAGCUUUCCCAACGUUGAUUUUUUAGACAUGA